UAAUACGGAGGAUCCAAGCGUUAUCCGGAUUUAUUGGGUUUAAAGGGUGCGUAGGCGGAAUAGUAAGUCAGUGGUGAAAGCCUGUCGCUUAACGACAGAACUGCCAUUGAUACUGCUAAUCUUGAGUAUAAUUGAAGUGGGCGGAAUGUGUCGUGUAGCGGUGAAAUGCUUAGAUAUGACACAGAACACCGAUUGCGAAGGCAGCUCACUAAACUAUAACUGACGCUGAGGCACGAAAGCGUGGGGAUCAAACAGGAUUAGAUACCCUGGUAGUCCACGCUGUAAACUAUGAUUACUCGAUGUGUGCGAUAUACAGUACGCGUCUUAGCGAAAGUGAUAAGUAAUCCACCUGGGGAGUACGCUCGCAAGAGUG
rnacentral:rRNA from 1 species